UUGGGGGAGGGCUCCGGGUCCCCCCCCUUUCCCUGAGGGGCAUUUUUGGGGGGCUUCAGAUCCCCCCCCCUCCUUGGGGGGCAUUUUUGGGUAACUGCAGCCCCCCCCUAUAGAUGGCACUGCCCCAUUCGGAGCCCCCCCCGCACCCCCACCCCCCCCGGCGCCGCUUUUCCCUUUGGGUUUUCCAGUUGUGCCUUAACCGGGGAGCAGCGCUCAGUGGGACACCAAUGGGACCCCCCGUGUGACACCGAGGGGACACCAAUGGGACCCCAAUGGGACACCGGGACCCCCAGUGUGACACCAAUGGGACCCCAGUGAGACCCCCUGUGUGACACCAAGGGGACACCAAUGGGACACCAACGGGACCCCAGUGAGACCCCCAGUGUGACACCAAUGGGACCCCAAUGGGACCCCCCGUGUGACUCCAAUGGGACACCAACGGGACACCAAUGGGACACCGGGACCCCCAGUGUGACACCAAUGGGACCCCAGUGAGACCCCCAGUGUGACACCGAGGGGACACCGAGGGGACACCGGGACCCCCAGUGUGACUCCAAUGGGACACCAAUGGGACACCAAUGGGACUCCAAUGGGACACCAAUGGGACCCCCAGUGUGACACCAACGGGACCCCAAUGGGACCCCCCGUGUGACACCAACGGGACACCAAUGGGACACCAAUGGGACCCCCAGUGUGACACCGAGGGGACACCAGUGGGACACCAAUGGGACACCGGGACCCAAAGUGUGACACCGAGAGGACCCCCAGUGUGACACAAAGGGGACUCCAAUGGGACACCGGGACCCCCACUGUGACACCGAGGGGACACCGAGGGGACACCGGGACCCCCACUGUGACACCAAUGGGACCCCAGUGAGACCCCCAGUGUGACUCCAAUGGGACCCCAGUGAGACCCCCAGUGUGACUCCAAUGGGACACCAACGGGACACCGGGACCGCCAGUGUGAUACCAGUGGGACCCCAGUGAGACCCCCAGUGUGACACCGAGGGGACACCGAGGGGACCCCAAUGGGACCCCAGUGUGACUCCAAGGGGACACCAAUGGUUCCCCCAGUGUGACACCGAGGAGACACCAAUGGAACACCAAGAAGACACCAAUGGGACCCCCAGUGUGACACCAGUGGGACACCAAUGGGACACCAAUGGGACACCAAUGGGACACUGGGACCCAAAGUGUGACACCGAGAGGACCCCCAGUGUGACACCAAUGGGACACCAAUGGGACACUGAGGGGACACCAAUGGGACCCACAGCGCCCCAAUGUGACACUGAGGGGACAGUGGGACCCCCAGCACUUUGAGGUGACCCGGAGGGGACCCCCACCACUCUGAUGUGACCCCGAGGGGACCCCCGAUGUGACACUGAGGGGACAGUGGGACCCCCAGCACUCUGAUGUGACCCCGAGUGGCCCCACACGGCUCCAUGGGACCCCACUGUGGGGCAGUGGUGGUUAUGCGGGGGGGUCGGGGGCUGCUGCCCCCCCCCACAGCCGCCCCCUGCAGAGCUGUCCCCCCCCCC
rnacentral:lncRNA from 1 species